GGGUGCGCUGACCCAGGCUCCAUGGACAUCCAUGACCCAGUGUCCACUCCCGGUGUCCACGCCCCGGCAUCUGUGGCUGAGUCUGUGGGCCAGAUCUCCCACCCAGUGUCCACAAACUGUGUAUGAGUCAGAUCGAGGGAUUCAGUUCUACUUCUCCAAUCCGUGGUGACACCAUGACCUAAAGCUCAGUCCCCCUCUUACAAUGCAUAUAAAGUAAGAGUGGCAACCACUGCCCCGGAAGCUUUUGUUCUGUCUGAGUGGAGCUGGAUCUCACAUGGAGCAAGGCUACUUUGACAACAUCAGAAUCCUUUUCUACCCCACCUGAGCUUCCUGUCCAGUUUGCAACCCUGGCCUGCUCUCAUCAGCUUUCCCAGGCCCUCACCAUCCUUGAUUUUACUCUCAAUAUGUGGGGAAAUCUUCCAGUCAGCGCCUGUCUGGCUUGCUAUGUAUGCAUCCGUGUUGACAGCUCAUGGAUUGCAGUGUAUUCAUCACCUCCCUUUCGAACUGGACUGAGAAACUCAGCACCCUGAUUGAAACCGUCAGAGGGAGAGCAAGCUGAGGCAGGCACAGCUGCAAGGCAGGGCCACCGUGGCGGUGGCUGCGGACCGAGGCCUAAGGGAGGGUCCCUCCUCACCCCUUGAACUGUAGGACUCUGUACCGUGCUUGCCUGGGCUCACUACUCUUGGUGUUUGGAACUGAAGAGAGCCAGAAAUUCCAAAAGGAAGCCACCUCAGCAAAAUCAGCAAUCUGUUUUCCUUUGGAAACUCAAAGUCUGCAGUCCACUUUGGCCGUGCCUCUCCUUCGCUUGCUUCAGCAAGCACCUAGUCCACGUCCCCGGCAGCAAAUCUCUACAUCCGGCUCCUUCCCUGUGCUGCGCCCCCACUAAGACACCAGGUUAGGAGCGAAGGGUGCCAAGAAACGUGAGAUUCGUCCCCAUGAUCAAGAUGUCACUGUGAACGAAGCAACGAGUCAGGACAGACGGAUCUCUGCUGUCCUGGUAAAGUAGACUCCGUGUGUUGGCUGGAAAGUUUAGUUCUGCUUGACUUGGUUUUAUUUCUCCAAGAUCAAUACUUCGAUGAGAUACUGUUAUUCUCAAACCUUUCUUUAACCACCAAAGACUCCCCCCAAAUCUCCUAUGUACACCUGUAUGCGAUAUCUUAGGUGUCUGGCUAAGGGCUCGAUAAAAAUGGAUUCCUGGGUCGAGGUACAGCUCAGUGGUAGAGCAGUCGCGAGGGGUGUGAGGCCCUGGGUUUGAUCUGUAGGUGCGCGCACACACAUAAUAAUAAUAAUAAUAGUUCAUGUGAUAAAUACAGCUGAUAAGACAGAAUUUCCAGGAUGUUCUAAAUUUAAUCACGAAGACCACGAUGAGGAGGGCUGGGGUAGAAGGGAAGUUAAUCAGUUAGCAGCUGCUGGCCAAACCAACAUGAAGACUGCUUAUGUUUGAGUGGGAUUUAUGACUUAAACUCCACAGAACAAACACCAGGGUUUUUAUUGCCCUAUUUACACAUAAACUCUCUGGAUGGUUGAUACCAACCAAUCCAGAAGCAAGAAGAAAGAACUCCUCCUUCUCCUCCCCCUCCUUCUUCCUCU